ACACGACUAUAAACCUUCUCAGUUCACUGGAGGAUCAGCUGACGAUGCAAAGCCUCCUCUCUAUGGAAAUGAUUUCUCUGCUCUCAACACACUGAAGGCAACGUGGGACACAAAAUCAGGAGGAAUACUGCUUGGAUUUACACCAUCUAUGAUCUUUAUGGAAUACAAGCAAAUAUUUUGAUUCCAAGUGAAGAUGAAGAUUUAAGGAUGAGUUUGUGUGCACUGUGGUUGGUAUGAUAUGUCUGUUUGUCUGCCUUUCAUUUACUUACAGUGUUUAACUGUAGAUAAAUAACAUAUUUCACUUCUACUUAACAACACUUUGUAAAUCAUUGUUAUUAAAAAGCAUCAUGUUCAUUUAACCAUGUAUCAACUGAUAUAAAACUGUGAAAAAACAGACUUUGUUUCAUGGAGACUGUAAUCGUUUCUCUGUCCGGUGUAGAAAACUAAAGAAAAACUAAAGAAAUAAUCUUCAUUUAUGAAAUAAUUUGAAUUCAUGUCAUUAAGAAAUCUUUGUAGAUUCAAUAAAUGAUAAAUGUUUCUGUGUUAUUAGUAAAAUCAGAGAGUUGUUUCAGUGGAUAGAUGCUUGUUCACAGUGCAGGAGGUUUUUGUACGGCCACUUAAUGAGUUUGUAUCACUGUGGUGACUUUUGGUGGGGAACCAAACUCGUCGUUGACUUGGGUGUGGUGCGGCCCACCCUGACCGUCCUCCCCCCCUCCAGAGAGGAGCUGCAGCAGGGCAGUGCCACACUGGUGUGUCUGGCCAGCGGGGGCCUCCCCUCAACCUGGAGUCUGGGCUGGAAGGUGGGGGGCAGCAGCAGCUCCUCAGGGGUGUCAAACAGCCCGGAGGUCCUGGGGAGCGACGGCCGCUACAGCUGGAGCAGCACCCUGAGCCUCCCUGCAGACCAGUGGAAGAAGGCGGGCUCAGUGGUCUGUGAGGCCAGUCUGAAUGGACAGAGCCCUGUCACUCAAACCCUGGACCCUGACAGCUGCUCAGAGUAGAGCUUCAGCAACACUUCCUGUCUGGAAAUGAUGCUGCUUCUUUCAUAGAGAUCUUGAUGAAGCUACAGAUCUCCUCUGUUCACACAUUUCUGCAAGUUUCACAGCUCUCCACUCAGUGUUUUAGUGUGCAUGUUGCUUUCUAAUACUGAUCUUCUGCAUGUUCUUCUUUAUGCUCUUUACUUUUCAGAUUCAACUGAAUUUUUAAAUAUUCAUCCAUCAAAAAUGUGACAUGAACAUUAAACCAUCAUUAAAUAAGACUGUGGAUUAUAAUGA